rnacentral:rRNA from 1 species
GACGAACCGAGCGACCGUUGUUCGGAAUCACUGGGCUUAAAGGGCGCGUAGGCGGGCUGCCGCGUCCGGGGUGAAAUCCCACGGCUCAACCGUGGAACGGCCCCGGGUACGGGCGGCCUCGAGGGGGGUAGGGGCGUGCGGAACUGUGGGUGGAGCGGUGAAAUGCGUUGAUAUCCACAGGAACUCCGGUGGCGAAGGCGGCACGCUGGACCCCCACUGACGCUGAGGCGCGAAAGCCAGGGGAGCGAGCGGG